CCCGAAGUGCCGGGGUGCCCGCAAGGGCUGAGAACACACCCGCAACACCUGAUCUAGACAGUGCUAGCGAAGGGAGCCAUAUGACUCAGGUC
rnacentral:ncRNA from 1 species